UACAGAGGUCUCAAGCGUUGUUCGGAUUCAUUGGGCGUAAAGGGUGCGUAGGCGGCGCGGUAAGUCGGGUGUGAAAUCUUGGAGCUUAACUCCGAAACUGCAUUCGAUACUGCAGAGCUUGAGUGCCGGAGAGGGUGGCGGAAUUCCCCAAGUAGAGGUGAAAUUCGUAGAUAUGGGGAGGAACACCGGUGGCGAAGGCGGCCACCUGGACGGUAACUGACGCUGAGACGCGAAAGCGUGGGGAGCAAACAGG
rnacentral:rRNA from 1 species